rnacentral:rRNA from 1 species
GACGAACGCUGGCGGCGUGCUUAACACAUGCAAGUCGAACGGAAAGGCCCUGCUUUUGUGGGGUGCUCGAGUGGCGAACGGGUGAGUAACACGUGAGUAACCUGCCCUUGACUUUGGGAUAACUUCAGGAAACUGGGGCUAAUACCGGAUAGGAGCUCCUGCUGCAUGGUGGGGGUUGGAAAGUUUCGGCGGUUGGGGAUGGACUCGCGGCUUAUCAGCUUGUUGGUGGGGUAGUGGCUUACCAAGGCUUUGACGGGUAGCCGGCCUGAGGGGGUGACCGGCCACAUUGGGACGGAGAUGCGGCCCAGCCUCCUACGGGAGGCAGCAGUGGAGAAUAUUGUACAAUGGGCUGAAGCCUGAUGCAGCACCGCCGCGUGCGGGAUGUCGGCCUUCGGGUUGUAAACCGCUUUCGCCUGUGACGAAGCGUGAGUGACGGUAAUGGGUAAAGAAGCCCCGGCUAACUACGUG